AACUUCAACAUCUUUUUGGCAGCUUGCUCCCCAGUUCGGCAGCCUCACAGGACCCACCAGCCACCCAGCUGCUACCAUCCCUCUGAGAAGCUCCUCCUGGUUAUCUGCCCUGUACCAAGCUGCUUCAUUUCCAUAGCUCCUGAGAAUCUGCUGACAGGGAAUUAGCCCUGGCCUGGCUUCCCCAUCCUGAGGACACCCUGGCUUCUGGCAUUACAGCUCAUUAGCCAAGACCGGCCCCGCUCAGGGAAGGGCUCUGCAGCCUCCUGCUCCCCACCUCUUCCUCUGGAUCUCAUCACUAUUAUCAGGGAGACUUAUCUGCUCCAGAAUUCUAUCCCAAUUAAAAACUAGCUAGGUUUACACCUGCAACCUCUUGAUGUAUCUCAUUCCCAGAGCUUCUCCCCCAGCCAUUUCUGGGGGAAAAUACAUUUUUCCAGCCAACUUCCCCCCUUGAAACCUCUCUGCUUUCCCACCAAUGGCUGCCACAAAAAGAAGAGGUGAGAGGGGCUACGGCUAUGGCAGCACCUGUAGGUAUCUGCAGAUGGGAAAGAGCGCAAACACACACGCACACACACA